GUUGUAUGGUUAAGUGACUAAGCGUACACGGUGGAUGCCUUGGCAGUCAGAGGCGAUGAAAGACGUAGUAACUUGCGAUAAGCCCAGAUUAGGUAGUAACAACCAUUUGAGUCUGGGAUUUCUGAAUGGGGAAACCCACGUGCAUAAGCACGUAUCCUUACCUGAAUACAUAGGGUAAGGAGGCGAACCGGGGGAACUGAAACAUCUAAGUACCCCGAGGAAAAGAAAUCAACCGAGAUUCCGAAAGUAGCGGCGAGCGAAAUUGGACUAGCCCUUAAGCUUUAUAGGCGUUAGGUGAACAAGCUGGAAAGCUUGGCGAUACAGGGUGAUAGCCCCGUAACUGACGACGCAUAUUCAGUGAAAUCGAGUAGGGCGGGACACGUGAUAUCCUGUCUGAAUAUGGGGGGACCAUCCUCCAAGGCUAAAUACUACUGACUGACCGAUAGUGAACCAGUACCGUGAGGGAAAGGCGAAAAGAACCCCUGUGAGGGGAGUGAAAUAGAACCUGAAACCGUGUACGUACAAGCAGUAGGAGCAGGCUUGUCCUGUGACUGCGUACCUUUUGUAUAAUGGGUCAGCGACUUAUAUUCAGUGGCAAGGUUAACCAUCUAGGGGAGCCGUAGGGAAACCGAGUCUUAACUGGGCGUUCAGUCUCUGGAUAUAGACCCGAAACCAGGUGAUCUAGCCAUGGGCAGGUUGAAGGUUGAGUAACAUCAACUGGAGGACCGAACCGACUAAUGUUGAAAAAUUAGCGGAUGACUUGUGGCUAGGGGUGAAAGGCCAAUCAAACCUGGAGAUAGCUGGUUCUCCCCGAAAGCUAUUUAGGUAGCGCCUCGGACGAAUACUACUGGGGGUAGAGCACUGUUAAGGCUAGGGGGUCAUCCCGACUUACCAACCCUUUGCAAACUCCGAAUACCAGUAAGUACUAUCCGGGAGACACACGGCGGGUGCUAACGUCCGUCGUGGAGAGGGAAACAACCCAGACCGCCAGCUAAGGUCCCAAAUUACUACUAAGUGGGAAACGAUGUGGGAAGGCUCAGACAGCCAGGAUGUUGGCUUAGAAGCAGCCAUCAUUUAAAGAAAGCGUAAUAGCUCACUGGUCGAGUCGGCCUGCGCGGAAGAUGUAACGGGGCUAAGUAGUAAACCGAAGCUGCGGCAAUAUACUUUUGUAUAUUGGGUAGGGGAGCGUUCUGUAAGCGGUUGAAGGUGUGUGGUAACGCAUGCUGGACGUAUCAGAAGUGCGAAUGCUGACAUGAGUAACGAUAAAGGGGGUGAAAAACCUCCUCGCCGGAAGACCAAGGGUUCCUGUCCAACGUUAAUCGGGGCAGGGUAAGUCGACCCCUAAGGCGAGGCCGAAAGGCGUAGUCGAUGGGAAACGGGUUAAUAUUCCCGUACUUCUUACAAUUGCGAUGGGGGGACGGAGAAGGCUAGGUGGGCCUGGCGACGGUUGUCCAGGUUCAAGUGCGUAGGCUUAAGAGUUAGGUAAAUCCGGCUCUUUUUAAGGCUGAGACACGACGUCGAGCACCUACGGGUGUGAAGUCAUUGAUGCCAUGCUUCCAGGAAAAGCCUCUAAGCUUCAGAUUGUAAGGAAUCGUACCCCAAACCGACACAGGUGGUCGGGUAGAGAAUACCAAGGCGCUUGAGAGAACUCGGGUGAAGGAACUAGGCAAAAUGGUACCGUAACUUCGGGAGAAGGUACGCUCUCGACGGUGAAGUCCCUUGCGGAUGGAGCUAUUGAGAGUCGCAGAUACCAGGUGGCUGCAACUGUUUAUUAAAAACACAGCACUGUGCAAAAUCGUAAGAUGACGUAUACGGUGUGACGCCUGCCCGGUGCCGGAAGGUUAAUUGAUGGGGUUAGACUUCGGUCGAAGCUCUUGAUCGAAGCCCCGGUAAACGGCGGCCGUAACUAUAACGGUCCUAAGGUAGCGAAAUUCCUUGUCGGGUAAGUUCCGACCUGCACGAAUGGCGUAAUGAUGGCCACGCUGUCUCCACCCGAGACUCAGUGAAAUUGAAAUCGCUGUGAAGAUGCAGUGUACCCGCGGCUAGACGGAAAGACCCCGUGAACCUUUACUACAGCUUGGCACUGAACAUUGACCCUACAUGUGUAGGAUAGGUGGGAGGCUUUGAAGCACGUACGCCAGUAUGUGUGGAGCCGUCCUUGAAAUACCACCCUUGUAGUGUUGAUGUUCUAACGUCGACCCCUAAUCGGGGUUGCGGACAGUGCCUGGUGGGUAGUUUGACUGGGGCGGUCUCCUCCCAAAGAGUAACGGAGGAGCACGAAGGUGGGCUAAUCACGGUUGGACAUCGUGAGGUUAGUGCAAUGGCAUAAGCCCGCUUGACUGCGAGAAUGACAAUUCGAGCAGGUGCGAAAGCAGGUCAUAGUGAUCCGGUGGUUCUGAAUGGAAGGGCCAUCGCUCAACGGAUAAAAGGUACUCCGGGGAUAACAGGCUGAUACCGCCCAAGAGUUCAUAUCGACGGCGGUGUUUGGCACCUCGAUGUCGGCUCAUCACAUCCUGGGGCUGAAGUCGGUCCCAAGGGUAUGGCUGUUCGCCAUUUAAAGUGGUACGCGAGCUGGGUUUAGAACGUCGUGAGACAGUUCGGUCCCUAUCUGCCGUGGGCGUUGGAAGAUUGAAGGGGGCUGCUCCUAGUACGAGAGGACCGGAGUGGACGAACCUCUGGUGUUCGGGUUGUGUCGCCAGACGCAUUGCCCGGUAGCUAAGUUCGGAAUCGAUAACCGCUGAAAGCAUCUAAGCGGGAAGCGAGCCCUGAGAUGAGUCUUCCCUGAUACUUUAAGUAUCCUAAAGGGUUGUCGGAGACUACGACGUUGAUAGGUCAGGUGUGUAAGUGCUGUGAGGCAUUGAGCUAACUGAUACUAAUUGCCCGUGAGGCUUAACCAUACAACACCCAAGGGGUUU
rnacentral:rRNA from 1 species